rnacentral:rRNA from 1 species
GAUGAACGCUAGCGGCAGGCCUAACACAUGCAAGUCGAGGGAGAAGCCCUUCGGGGCAGAAACCGGCGCACGGGUGCGUGACGCGUAUGCAACCUACCUUUCACAGGGGGAUAGCCCGAAGAAAUUUGGAUUAAUACCCCAUAAUAUUAUUGGAUGGCAUCAUUUGAUAAUUAAAAUUACGAUGGUGAAAGAUGGGCAUGCGUCCUAUUAGCUAGUUGGAGUGGUAACGGCACCCCAAGGCUACGAUAGGUAGGGGUCCUGAGAGGGAGAUCCCCCACACUGGUACUGAGACAGGGACCAGACUCCUACGGGAGGCAGCAGUGAGGAAUAUUGGUCAAUGGUCGGAAGACUGAACCAGCCAUGCCGCGUGCAGGAAGAAUGCCUUAUGGGUUGUAAACUGCUUUUAUAUGGGAAGAAUAAGGAGUACGUGUACUUUGAUGACGGUACCAUAUGAAUAAAGCUUCGGAA